GACGAACGCUGGCGGCGUGCUUAACACAUGCAAGUCGAACGGAAAGGCCCUGCUUUUGUGGGGUGCUCGAGUGGCGAACGGGUGAGUAACACGUGAGUAACCUGCCCUUGACUUUGGGAUAACUUCAGGCAACUGGUGCUAAUACCGUAUAGUAGUUCCUGCUGCAUGGUGGGGGUUGGAAAGUUUGGGCGGUUGGGGUUGGACUCGUGGCUUAUCAGCUUGGUGGUGGGGUAGUGGCUUCCCAAGUCUUUGACGGGUAGCCGGCCUGAGAGGGUGACCGACCAAAUAGUGACAAAGAUAGGGCCCAGACUCCUACGGGAGGCAGCAGUGGGGAAUAUUGCACAAUGGGCGGAAGCCUGAUGCAGCAAGGCCGAGUGCGGGAUGACGGACUUCGGGUUGUAAACCGCUUUCGCCUGUGGCGAAGCGUGAGUGACGGUAAUGGGUAAAGAAGCACCGGCUAACUACGUG
rnacentral:rRNA from 1 species